UACGUAGGUGGCGAGCGUUGUCCGGAUUUACUGGGCGUAAAGGGAGCGUAGGCGGACUUUUAAGUGAGAUGUGAAAUACUCGGGCUCAACUUGAGUGCUGCAUUUCAAACUGGAAGUCUAGAGUGCAGGAGAGGAGAAUGGAAUUCCUAGUGUAGCGGUGAAAUGCAUAGAGAUUAGGAAGAACACCAGCGGCGAAGGCGAUUCUCUGGACUGUAACUGACGCUGAGGCUCGAAAGCGUGGGGAGCAAACAGG
rnacentral:rRNA from 1 species